rnacentral:rRNA from 1 species
GACGAACGCUGGCGGCGUGCCUAAUACAUGCAAGUUGAGCGCUGAAGGUUGGUACUUGUACCGACUGGAUGAGCAGCGAACGGGUGAGUAACGCGUGGGGAAUCUGCCUUUGAGCGGGGGACAACAUUUGGAAACGAAUGCUAAUACCGCAUAAAAACUUUAAACACAAGUUUUAAGUUUGAAAGAUGCAAUUGCAUCACUCAAAGAUGAUCCCGCGUUGUAUUAGCUAGUUGGUGAGGUAAAGGCUCACCAAGGCGAUGAUACAUAGCCGACCUGAGAGGGUGAUCGGCCACAAUGGGACUGAGACACGGCCCAAACUCCUACGGGAGGCAGCAGGAGGGAAUCUUCGGCAAUGGACGGAAGUCUGACCGAGCAACGCCGCGUGAGUGAAGAAGGGUUUCGGAUCGUAAAACUCUGUUGGUAGAGAAGAACGUUGGUGAGAGUGGAAAGCUCAUCAAGUGACGGUAACUACCCAGAAAGGGACGGCUAACUACGUG